rnacentral:misc_RNA from 1 species
AACAGAACUGAGAGAUCUUG